AGAAACAUAAACCUUUUACCUUAUCAUAAUUAGACAUAAUUGAAAAUGAACGGGCAGUUAACCCACUGUUCCUAGGCCGUCAUUGAAAAUAAGAAUUUGUUCUUAACUGACUUGCCUAGUUAAAUAAAGGUAAAAUAAAUAAAAACAUUCAACCACCCAUCAGAGAUGAUUGCAAUAGCCUGCUUUCUCUAUGAUUUGCUUGACCUUCACUUGAACUCUGCCUCCAGCAAAUGAGGAGAUAAUGUCUGGUUGGAGGGGUGUAUGCUGGGAGAAGAACAUUCACAAAUCUCUUCCAACACGCAUUGCCUGUGAGCAUCAGAGGUGAACCAGUUGCAUACACAGCUUGAGCAAGACAUUCAUCAGCAUUUCUCUGACUACGUUCCUCCAUUGAGUUAAACAACGUCUGAUUCCAGGAGAACCAUGAGCUGUUGAUAAGGUGUCUGAUUCUAGGAGAACCAUGAGCUGUCGAUAAGGUGUCUGAUUCCAGGAGAAUCAUGAGCUGUCGAUAAGGUGUCUGAUUCCAGGAGAAUCAUGAGCUGUCGAUAAGGUGUCUGAUUCCAGGAGAACCAUGAGCUGUUGAUAAGGUGUCUGAUUCCAGGAGAACCAUGAGCUGUUGAUAAGGUGUCUGAUUCCAGGAGAACCAUGAGCUGUUGAUAAGGUGUCUGAUUCCAGGAGAACCAUGAGCUGUUGAUAAGGUGUCUGAUUCCAGGAGAACCAUGAGCUGUUGAUAAGGUGUCUGAUUCCAGGAGAACCAUGAGCUGUUGAUAAGGUGUCUGAUUCCAGGAGAACCAUGAGCUGUUGAUAAGGUGUCUGAUUCCAGGAGAAUCAUGAGCUGUUGAUAAGGUGUCUGAUUCCAGGAGAACCAUGAGCUGUCGAUAAGGUGUCUGAUUCCAGGAGAAUCAUGAGCUGUCGAUAAGGUGUCUGAUUCCAGGAGAAUCAUGAGCUGUCGAUAAGGUGUCUGAUUCCAGGAGAACCAUGAGCUGUUGAUAAGGUGUCUGAUUCCAGGAGAACCAUGAGCUGUCGAUAAGGUGUCUGAUUCCAGGAGAACCAUGAGCUGUUGAUAAGGUGUCUGCUUCAUAAUGUUCUGCUCCAAUAGAAGUAGAGGGAUGUUUGUCAGUUGCUUGUUGUCAGCGCUGAGGGAACGUUAUGCACUUGGUCAGAUGAUCCUGCAUCAUUGUUGCAUUCUUCACAUAUGAUUUGGCACAGUAUUUGUAAAUGUACACAGCUUUUCCUUCUACAUUAGCUGCAGUGAAAUGUCUCCACACAUCAGAUGGGGCCCGUGGCAUUUUCCUGUAAAGAUGAGAAAAAAAUUAGUAUUAAAAAACAAAUCCAAUUCCAUGUACAGAUGAAUAGUGACAGCGUUAGAUGAAACAACUCCUUUGUAAGAUAAAUGUUUUAACAUGAAACGGGUGAAUUAACAAU